rnacentral:rRNA from 1 species
UGGGGAAUUUUGGACAAUGGGGGCAACCCUGAUCCAGCCAUGCCGCGUGAGUGAAGAAGGCCUUCGGGUUGUAAAGCUCUUUCGGUGGGAACGAAACGGUUCGUGCCAAUACCACGGACUAAUGACGGUACUCACAGAAGAAGCACCGGCUAACUACGUGCCAGCAGCCGCGGUAAUACGUAGGGUGCGAGCGUUAAUCGGAAUUACUGGGCGUAAAGCGUGCGCAGGCGGUUACUUAAGUCAGGUGUGAAAGCCCUGGGCUUAACCUAGGAAUUGCGCUUGAGACUGGGUAGCUUGGAGUGCGGCAGAGGGAGGUGGAAUUCCACGUGUAGCAGUGAAAUGCGUAGAGAUGUGGAGGAACACCGAUGGCGAAGGCAGCCUCCUGGGCCAGCACUGACGCUCAUGCACGAAAGCGUGGGGAGCAAACAGGAUUAGAUACCCUGGUAGUCCACGCCCUAAACGAUGUCAACUGGUUGUUGGUGGGGUUAAACCCAUUAGUAACGAAGCUAACGCGUGAAGUUGACCGCCUGGGGAGUACGGCCGCAAGGUUAA